rnacentral:lncRNA from 1 species
AGGUGAGAUGGUUGCAUGGGAAUUUUUUUGCCCUUAAAUAAAUUUUUUUUUUUUUGAAAAGAUUAGUUUUAUUCAUUUCAUGUCUCUAAAGCAAGUUGUCUGCUGACCUCUCUUUGUCCCGAUAUUUUCUGUUGAAUCAUUGGCUAAUCUGCUAUUGCCACUAAAGAUUCUAUUUGCACAGUAAUGUGGAGCAUCUGAAGAGUAUUCUGCUUUUGUUACUAAUUGUUUGACUGAAAUAUGCUUUCUUUAGUUCCUAAAUUUCAUUAUUCCAUUCUAUUCCCUCUCUCAGUUUGGUAUUUUCAUACCACUAGCUAAUUUCUUUGAAAACCUUGAAUGCUUUGGCAGUCCCUACGUGCUCGGACAGAAAGAUCGAUCAGAAAACAAAUUGAAGAUGGUGAUUCCCAUAUUAUUGUCAAGGAAGUCCUUUCCUUUACAUUGACUGAAAAGGUUUUUUGCUUGUUCAUGCAUUAUUGCCGUUGAAGGGACUAGAAUUUUGCCAUUCAGUGAAGAGAAAGGAUAGUUAACUUACUAAAAAUUUUGCAGGGGGCUUUUGUUAGAGAGAUAAUUCUUGAAGAAUUUGCGAAGGUAUAGUAGGUUAAAGGAUUUUUGUUUAAUAGUUUUCUGAUGCAUAUAAGAGAUGGAAUCAAGGUAGCGGAUGGUCCAUGAACAUUUAUAUCUUGAUUAAAAUACAAAACCCUUCUCCAAUCCAUUACAGCAAAAUAACAAACAAGAAGCUGAAUUUUCUCCAAGCAUGUAAAUCCAACAGCUUAAUUCACAGUGUUGGAGAGCCUUGACAGUCUUUGUUCAGAAAGAGGAAAGUAAAGCUAUCAUAUUUUUUCUUGUGUUUGAAAAAUUGCACGCAUGCAGCAAUUUAUAGCAUCUUUAAAAGAUUGGUUCACCUAAUCACAUUCUGAAAGAGCUCCUGCAUUAUGGUUCUAAAUCCACAAGAUUCUAAACUGCCAAAUAGUUGAUGGUGUUAAAAUUCUAAAUCCACAAGAUUCUGCAUUGGUGUAUAAGAACUACUUUUUCUUCUGUAUCUUAACAUGCUGCUGUAGAUGCCUCAGGUUACUGAUAGUCUUACGAAUUUUUCUAGGGAUUGGAUGCAUUUGGACUUGCAACUCUUGAUUCUGUAGCAUCUUCACUUACUGCAAGACUCCCGUUCUCUGGUUCUCCAUCAUUUUCACUAAUGACUGAUGAAGAUAGUGCAAAUUUGAGAACAUUGCAGCGCCUUGUGUCGUUGCUAUCAGGUCUUCAAGAGGAUAGAAAAACUGGCAUGGUAAGAGAUUUUCAUUUCAAUAGUUUAACUAGUCGAAAGUCAAAUCAUUACUCAUCUGUUAAGUAGGUCUCUAAUGAUAGAAAUGAAUGAAAUGACUUGCACAACUGCGUGUAUAUCAACCUCUACAGGCCUCUGUGUACAUGUUGAAGUGUAAUGAUAAGUUUUGGUACUUGCGUUGUGGGGAGAGAGAGAGUGUGUGUGAGGGAGAGACAGUUUUUAUGUUUUAUCAUAAGUGCGUUUUUCUAAUCAAGCUACCACCAAAAUAUUUGAAAAUCUUUUGCCCAAAUAUGUAACAGUGCUGCAAGUGAAAAAGCAACUGUAACUGCUGAAUGACAAAUAUGUCAAGCCAUCUUCAUUGAUGAUGCAUAACUUUCUAGUCCUUGAGAAGUUGGAUGUGUGACCAUUAGAAUACUUCCUAUAGUCACUUCACAAAUUUAAGCUGUUGCUUUGAUACUUUUGGAACCCCAACUUCAAUUUCAUCAUGAUUAUAACCGCCAGUGAUUAUGCAAUUCAGUCUGUAAGAGAUAGCUUAAACAUGGAUGAAUAUGUUAAACUUGAUUAUAAUGUGCUGUAUUACGGGUCUGUUUGUUUCGGGUGAAAAUGUUUUCUAGGAAAAUAUUUUCCUAAUUUCCCGUGUUUGGUUGCACAAAAGUUACUGAAAACAUUUUCCUAUGUAAAAUAUUUUCACUCAUCUUAUGGAAAACAACUUCCCUUUCAAACUUACUGAAGUUGUUUUCCGAAAUGCAUGCGUCCCGCCUGUAGUAUGUUCCAAACUUAUUGAAAACAUCUUAUAGUAUGUUCUUUUUUUUUUAGUAUGUUCUAAACUUAUUGAAAACAUCUUGUAGUAUGUUCUUUUUUUUUUUAGUGUAAACAGGAGGACUCGAACACAAGACCUCUUCUUUACACUCCCUCCCUCGUACCACCCAACUCAACCCUCCCCCUAGCAUAUUCAAAAUAAAAAAAAACCUCAUCCUACUCAUCCUAUGCUAGUAAUUAAUUAUGUAUAAUAGGGACAUUCUUUUCUAGAGAAAUUUUCAGCAGUGAGAGUGCAAGAUAUAUGUUACAAUAAACAUUGCAUGUGAUUGAUAUUUGACACUAAAUGGCCAGCAAUUUAUUUAUUGCUUAAGGAGAUAUUUUUUAUUUAUAUAUACAUUUCUCCAAGAUUUUUUAAAGUUAAAUAAUGAGAUAAAUUUUCUUAUUUUGUAUGGGAAGAAGUAUGUAGUUAUAAUGUGUAGAAAAUAAAGAUAGAGAUAAAAGUGAAAAUAUUUCAAAAGUUAAACAAACACCAGAAAAAUGAAGUAAGAAAAUAUUUUCAAUAAGCUAACCAAACACCUGAAAAUGAUGAAAGGGAAAUGAUUUUCAUGGAAAAUUACUUCCAUGAAAAAUAUUUUCUCAAGGAAAACAUUUUACUUCCAACCAAACAGACCCUACAAGGAUGAAUUAAUCAAUCGAACAAGUUGUUUAACACUGCUCAUUGAGCAAGUGAAAUUCAUUGUAGCUCCACAUUUGAUGUAUAAUUUUUAAAAUUUGGUUUUAAAUAAGAAUGUUAAUUUAGUAUAACAUAAGGGAUGAAUUCACGACUGUGUCACAAGAGUUAAUCCUAAUGAAGUGAUAAUACUCUAGCUCAUAAAACAGUAAAAUAAGAAUGAGCUACGACUUAGGACCACUAAGGCCAGACAAUAUGGUACAGGUUUUCUCUCAUGAAAUGUUCAAAUGUAUUAACAUGUCCAGAUGGGGCAUUUACAUAAUUUUUUGCAGGUCAGUGCUUACAAUAGCCGGAAAAUAUCUUCAAAUGGAAAUUCCCUGGUUCCUUAUCAAUCUGUAUCAAUUGAGGAAUUAGGGCGAUUCCUUGCUGUCGUCCCCGAGGUAAUUUAGCUCUUCAAGUCUGAAUAGACCGAUGAUUAGAUGUUUACAGCGUGGUCAAAGGAAUAUCAUGGCCGAGUCUACCUACAGGAUACUAGUAAUGAACUCCCAGAUAUUAGAAGCCUCUCAUUGUUAUGGCUCUCACAACAUUUAGAUGUUCUUUUCUUUAUGAGAGUGAGAAAAGGGGGGUUAGAUUCCUUGACUACUUACAUUGUUUGCAUAUAAGUGAAGACUUCCAAUCUUAUCAGAAAAUCCCGGGCCUUUGUGAUUGUUCAUUUAGUAUAUCCUCUGAUUACAUUUGCUGAUUAGCGUCAUUGGUUUUGGGUAAUAUGAACUUCUAUGGAAAGGAAGUUCUGACAAAUAUGUUCUACACCUUUGGCAGCUCCCACCAGAUGUGCAACAACAGUUACUUCGGUUGCCAGCUGACCUGUUUGCCAAGUUGGUUUCUCGUGUUGCUGCAAGAGCACUUCAGAGGCUUUUCUUGUAACGUCAAUUCAUUAUUUAUUGAUUUUUUAAUGGGAAAACCACAUGAUAUUUAUGCUUCUGCUGCCUUUAGUAUUCUUUCACAAUGUAUUCCCAAAUUCUGGAAUGGGACGUCAUUCAAACACAGGAAGAGAGAGCGAGUACAUGUUCUCUUGAGUAGGUGGCAAAAUGUAGGGCCACCGCCUUGCGUAAAUUCAAAGGUUUAACAAGGAAAAACAAAAUAAUUGUAUACAGGAGACUUCCAGGCAUUGAGUCAUUGCUGCAUGACUCCAUUAUUUUUCAAAUGGCUCCCAGCAAAAUGCAAGCUAAGUGAUUUGGGUUUGUUUGGGUUUAAACUUAUUUGCAAACUAUUUUUUACUUUUAUCAUAAAUAUAUUUUUCAAUUAACCUUUUUAUUUUUCUAACUACAUUUUUAUCGUACGUACAUCACAUUAUAAAAAAUGCUACGUAACUUUUUCAAAUAAUCUCCCAUCCAAGCACCUUCUAGUUCUUGGGAUGUUUUGUCCAUAGUUAUAAAAUUCGGUUCAGCCCGACAAUCGAACUGUCUAAAUUGGUGACUAAGCAAUAGGAUUGGGUUGGGUCAUUAAUUAGAUCGGACAAGUAAUAGACUUGUUGAUCAGUCAAUUAUUCGGCGGUUCAAUCGGUGAAUUGCAAAAAAAAAUUGCCAGUUGAACCGUUUACUUAAAAAUGUUAUUAUUUCUGUAAUUUAAAAUCUAUUAUUACAUUAUCUAAUAUAGAUGCCGUCCAACCUGCUAUUGAACCACCCAAUCUACGGUUGAACUGAUCACCUCAUCUUAUAAACUAUAGUUUUGCCUAUGUCUGCUUCUGCGAAUAACCCACACGUACAAAAAACAUUAAUAAUAUAUGUAGAACGUAAUUAUCUUGCUACCAAGUGGAAAUAUGCUCAUGACAUAUAACUGAAGUUCACAAUACCAGAAUACCAGUUUAAGUUUGGUCAAGUAGAUAGAAAGAGCAAAACUAUUAAGAGUUCUUCCUACUAUCAGGUUGAGGGUUCGAAUAUUGGAUCAUUAAUCUGAGAGUUGAAAAUAGAAAGGGUGUGGAAAGGAAAAAAAAAUCAUUAAUCUUUUAAUUGGUUAAAGGUUUGUAUUUAUUGAUAGCGACAGCUCAGCUCAUGUAAAGACUUCAUUAUGUGAACAAAUACUUUAUAAGGUGUUACUAAUUCCGAAUUUUGUCCCUUUUUUUUUUUUUUUUUUAAAUAAAUGGUGUAACAUGCUCUGAAUUGAUCUUGAAGCGAUUUUUCAAAUCUGUAGUGCAUGUACGAGAGUCAGGUAACCUUUCCACCUAAACAGCUUUAGGUUGUGGUUUUUCAAAUUUUUUACGUCAUGCUCACUGACUAGGUCUUUGUUCAUCUCCUGAUUUUAUCAGGUCAAUUCUCGUGCCUCAAUUGACUUUAAAAAAGCUGGAUAACAUUUAUUUGCAUUCAUAAAACAGUAGUAAAAGCAAAUUCCAGAAAGCAUCUUUUUAAGAAUAUGCUCCUAGUUUUCUGCUCAAAUAAAACUUUAAUAUGUGAAAGGAUGUUAAACAACUAAGCGAGACAUGAUAUCAUCGAAAAUACUAGGAAAUAAUAAUAUUAAUGAUUCCCCAAAAUUAACAUCUUUUUUUUUUUUUUUUUGUUGGGUAAGAUACCCAAAGGAGAUACAAAACUACAAGGGGCAUACCCCAGGAAAUACACAAACCAGUUAGCAAAAGACUGCUACAGAUCCAAUUGCGCAAUGGUAACCAUGGCGACAGCUUUUACAAGUUGGAACAACAAUACAUUCUGCCCAAAACAAAGAACUGCCUGCUUCCCUAGCUGUAGCUUGUGCAUGCAACUGAGGGUUUUCUGCUUCAAGCUAAGACACCAAACUUGACUGCAAUAGGAACACAAACGUCCAACCAUCAAAGCCUGAAGAAAGCUAAGACAAAACUUGUCUUGCAGCAGACAGGCAAGAUUCUAGCCGAAAGUGGGCUCGAGGAAAACGUAUAAUGAGCAUAAUUAAAAUCUGUUUCAAAGACAGUCAAGGAAACAUGAAGAUCAACCCAGAUUUGUAUCAGCAAGAGGAACUAACUAAGAUCGAGAUUAAGUAUCCUGGUGGCUGAUUUUCAGUUGUUAUAAUAUAUAGUAGCAGCAUCAGCAUGAGAUGGUAACAAUAAUGUGACUACUGAAAUCGCAAGUGGGAACGAGCAUACCGUAAGAAUAAGAUCAACUUCAAAAGAUACUCCAAGAUCAACUUAGAAACUUCAACUAGCAACAUGAAUUAAGGUCCAGAAUGCGCACUGGACAGGCUAAAUUACAUUUGAAAUGAGAAAAAAUGAGCUGUACUACCACUAGCAUAAUAAUGCAGUCACCUCUUACUAAAUUUUUCUUUUACAUUCAUCUGUUUGUGCUUUUCUAUUCCUAACAAGUUAUAGCUAGUUGAUCAAGAAAACGAGUAACAGAGACCCCGAUAUCUAAUGCAUUUUUUUUUUUCUCCUUUUCUUCUGUUGCAAAUACAUCAUUAGGAAACUGAGAAUUCCGUACAAGAUAAACCAUUUUGCUCUGCAAUCCCAUGCUUCCAUUUUGAUGCCCCUAUCCAUUUUGCAGCAGUUUACAUGCGGAAAUAUACUCAACAUCUUACAAAAUUUCAGUGUGCAUAUUAUGUAAGAAAUUCAUAGAUGACUUCACUGAAGAAAUUACUUUCUUUCGCAAAUGUUGCUGAACAUAUUAUUCUUUACCAUACAAAGAUUUUGCGCAAACAUUUCAGAGAUGUAAAGCUUGAGGAUAUACUAUUAGACAAACAACCCUGAUAAGCUUUAAUGGAGAUUGGAGCUUUACCAAAUGAUUGCCUCCUCAAUUCAUAGCUUGAUCUAGGUUAGAAAGACGAAGAUACGUUAGUACACAAAAUGAAUGGACAGGGAAUAAACGUAGGAGCAAAACUAUUUACAACUUCUCCAAAUAACAAUCAAAUCAAGUGAAAGACGAAAACAUUUUCUGCUCUCGCUAAUCUCCUUUUGCCAAAGGAGACCAAGUUCCUUGAGCCCAAACAUCCUCGCCAUUUUUCUUGUAGCACUUUGGGACUCUGCUGCUGGCAGAAGCUGUUGGUUUAACUCAACUAGUCCAGGUGUUGGGAUGGUACAAUAAAUCCCUCAUCCUGGGAACGCUCAUAGCCUACUGAUCAAUCAUAUAAUGAUAAACUACAAUUUUUUGAAGAAAUGCAGAUUCCUUACAAUGAGAUGGGAAUUAUACAAAUUCAUCAUUUACAGAUGCUAAACAUUUUCUAGUUACCACAUGGAAAGAAUGCUAUGCUAAAGUAAGACAGAAUUGCUGAGUAUUGUGUUUCUCGGGCUUUUACUCUUUGGAAUUCCUGCAGACGAGGGGCUGCCAAGGUUUAAGAAUUAUAUGAUACGAGAUUCUGCAACAUUCAUAAGCUAUGUUCAACUUGUAUAAAACACUUUUGAGUAAAACCAGCAAAACUUCAAUUUACAUUAUUACUAGGCUAUGCAUCUUCCCAGGACUUUUACAGAUGUUCCUAUCAACAUCCAUAAGAUGGCACAUAACAGACCAAGCAAUGAAAAAAAGAAAAAUCCACUCUUACAUUUGACUGAACUACUUGAAGUUGCUGAGAUACUACCUGCAGCAACAUUCAUGUUUUUACUAUUUAUUCUUACCCUACUAAAGCUAGACAUUCGCUCAAAGGCCCGAUUCGCACUUUCUGAAGCUGAAGCAGGAGUGGUGGGUAUAGACUCCACAAAAGACCAGAGAGCAGAAGAAAACCAAGAGUCUGUACCAUCCUGUUUGCCACUCUGAUUUUGAUCAGCUCCAGAACCAUGAUCGGAAAAGUUACCAUCAUAAACCAUACCUAAACAUGCCAAAACUUAUGAAUAUUAGCAAUUAAGUCUUACACCACAGUAAAAGCAGAAGAGCUCUUGAAGCUGGCUCAAACUCUCCCAUAUCCACUUGGGCAGUAGAGUUUUCACCAAGUUGAAGAUGACAUGGUCUUCCCAUACCAUCCAUCUGACCAAGAGCUCUAUAAGAUUAGCCGAGAAAGACAACAGUUUUUGUACAAAAAUUAAAAAACGUAAAUGAGACUACAGAUACCGAUGCCAACCAAAGAUGUCAACACUGAAUUUGGUUGUUUUUGCAGUACCUGAGAUUGCUGGCUGUAUGGUCCCCUGAUGAGCAUCUGUUGCAGCAAAGACGCUGCUCCUUUGAUCAUGUGACCAUGGUUGAAAACUCACCUCCUCUGGAUUGCUUAAAUAAGUCUGCUCACAGUUUAUAGUUUCCGUUCCACCAUCGUUGAAAUAGAAACUUGAAACAGGAUCCACAACUUCAGUGCCCAUAUUAUUCAUAUAAGGUUGAGCAAUCUGCCCCUGUUCCCCUGUUUCAAACUCAUUAAGAAACAAGGGUGCAUCCUUAUACAGGUCAAGCUCGCUCAACCCAUCGAACUCAUCAAACUGCAGAUUUUCAACAGCGGAUUUUCCAAAGGCCUGAACAGUUGGUUGUGGACCAAGAAGAUCAUCCAUCUCUAGAAAAUCUUCCAGGAAAUCCCCUUCAACCGCAUGAGGAGCUGAUGCAUAACUCUGUGGAGCAGAUGUGACCUCAGAUGCCUCGUGCAACUGUAAUUGAGAUGUACCUGACUGUGUCAAGUCAAAGCUAGGCUGCACAUUGUACUCCUGACAGGCUGGGUGAACAGCUGUGCUUUGAUCAUGUAAAUUGACUUCCCAUGAGGAUUGAUCCACUAGAUUACUCUGGGCCUCCUCCUCGCACAAGAGCUCCUCCAAAGAAUAUUCAUAGUCCACUGCAGGAGAUGGAACAACUACAGGCUCGUUUGCCAUCCCAUUCACAAACUCCUCGAAAUCAUCUAAAUGGGACUGUGGCUGAGACACAAUUCCAUUCUCACUAACAGGAGCUGUUUCAUUAACCAGCUUCACAGGAUUCUCCUGGUCGUUAUGGUCAAUAAGUCCAUUGGUCUCACCUCCUUCAUCAUCCCACUCCUCCUCCUUAAAAGGUGCACCAUAUUGUUCACCAUUCUUUGGACCUGGCCCACUCUUUUUAUAUACCUUGUAAAGUGCAUAAUAAUCCUUCACAGCCUGAGAUCUUUUUAGCUCUUCUUCGUCCAAGGUGUAUUCAUGCAUCACCCAGUCUGUUCGCUCACCUGAAGGUGCACGACCUUUAUAGUAAACCAAGGUUUUCUUCACCCCAACAUCACGAGCAUUACAUGCAAUUAUCCGAUCUUUUCCCGUUGCUUUCCAGUACCCAUACCUGGUUGCCCUGUUGGACCUCGCUCCAUUGGGAUACUUCCUAUCUCUGGGACUGAAGAAAAACCACUGCCUGUCCCCAGUUUUUAAUUUAGACAAUCCUGCAAUCAAAUUUACAAAAGGAAUGUCAGUAAAUUCUUCAGAACUGAAAACCAAUUUCAAAUCUACAACUCAAUAACCAAUAAAGUAAAUAUCCUCAAACAUUUUCUCAAACAAACUGAAGAUGGAAAACUUAAACCAUUCAGAAUAUUUAUAGAACUUGUUCCAUGACUAAAACACCGCAGAAGCUCAGUCUGCAAUUAAAGUACAAGACCAGCAACCAUGCAUCUACCAUGUUAAUUAUCAACUUAUUGAAAACAAAGGAACAAAAAAGGAGGCAGAUAAGCGGCCCAGCCAAGAUUUUAAAUCCUAAUAACUACCAGGGGCAGGUUCAUGGUCGAUAUUCUGAUAACCAGGUCUCAAAAAGUAAAAUAAAAUCCAUGCAUAGAUAACAGCACUUAGGAUGCAGCAUCAAUCCUAUCACUGCUCCUAAUUUAGCUUUUGUCAGAAAGCUAACACACAGAUGAAGCAAAUAUAAUCCCUUGAUAAAGAGUUUAACAGAAGACCGACUGACCAACCAGAUACAUGUAUAAAACCAAAAACAAAAACUGUCAAACUUGAAAAUUGCCACCACAUGAGGUAAUCACACACAGCUUCAGCCAUGACAUUUCCAAUCAAAACCAUUCAAUGACUAACGAGACAAUGGAGAAUCAACCAACCAACAAAUAUUUAGUUCCAAACAACAGUCCAAAACCAUUUGACAAUCAACAAGAGUACACGUGGACCAUAAUCCCAGGAACAAUCCAAGGUUUCAAACACAAACAACCUAUGAACCAUAAAUAACCAUUGAUCCACUCAGAUAUCACACAUAGCACACAAUUAAACAGAACCCACAUGAAAAAUCAAUCGACACACUCAAGUCAACCAUCAAAUACACCCAAGACAUCCAUCGAAACCCCCAAAAACACAUCAAAAGCCUCCCUCAAUCAUGUAAACACCAAAAGCAGAAAUCACAACCAAAAAUUGAACGGCCAACCAGAAUGACAAAUCAAGUCAACGCAAGAAAACCCCUAUGAGCAAAGCUAAACCAAAGCAGGAAAAGAAUAGUAGUCAUAUACCAGGCAGCUCUUCUGGGUCCCACUUGUAAACAUCAGUCUCGCCGAUGACGUCGAGCAGAUGUCGACGGCGACACAUCUUCUUCUUCAAAUAGUAGAGGACCAGCUCUUCAUCGGUGGGGUGGAACCGGAACCCGGGUGGAAAAAUUUUACCGCUCCCAAAACAAGACGAGAUUUCCUCUUCAAUCACCUUCAUCUUUUUGGAUCUCGCUUUAACAAUCAAAAAAUUACUCACUACUCUGAACAAAUAAGUUCAGAAUUAAAUAUAUAAAUUGAAUAUUCUACCGAUCAAAGGACAAAAAUUUGGAUGAAUGGAUGAAGAUAAGAAGGAAAACCCUAAAUGGACCAAGGCGACGACCCAAAAGGGCUUGCUUGGAAGAGUAGAAGUGAUGGAGUAGUAGAAGAAGGGCGAGACAGAAAAAUGGGAUUUAAUCAAAAGAAGGAAUAAUUAACAAGAAUAAAAGAGUUGACGGGCUUUCGAAGGCUGAGGGGGUAGGGCCGUGAUCCCUCUAGGGGAAGAUUCCAGGAAUUUGGGUAUAUGGAAAAUGGUGAUCAGGUUAGGUUUGAACGGAUAAAAAUGAGCAUGGGUGGAAGUAGCAGGGGGAUUGAAAGUGGACUUAGAGGGACUUUCCCCUUUUUUUUUGUGGAUUUUUAAUUGGUUAAUCCAUGAAAGUUCUUCAACUUUUCUUAUUUAUUUUCUAAAUUUUUUCAUGUAAUUGGAGAAUUAUUUUUUUUACAAUUAUAAUUGGAGAUUUUGUGUUAAGGGGAUGACAAAGUGAGAGUCAAAAAUAGGAGUUAAGAACUUAAGAAUCGAACUUGAUAAAAUGAAUAAUUAUGUUUCGAACCACCGGACCAUUUGUCCGGUGCCCACCAAAUGGAUCUUUAGAGGUGGCAAUUUGUUCCAAGUUUUAAUGGGUUACCCAUGCUCAUGGGAACUUUGGACGAGAUGGGUAUUGAAAUUUGAUAUUGAGUUUACAAUGGGACAAAUCCCAAUUGUAUCCAUUAAUUGAUGGGAAAUUUUGAAAAAUACUUGGAUAUCCAUUGGACUCAAAUAGCAAGGGCUCCGUUUGGAUUUGUUAUUUUUUGGGGUAUUUUUGAACUAUUUUAUUAUAGCAGUGUAUAUAAAAAAAAUUUUUGAAAUAUUUGAUGUACUAAUAUGAAUAGGAUGUUUUUUGAAUUAUUGUAUAUUACUAUAAUAUUGUAUUUGAAAAUUUUAUUUUUUGAAAAAAUAGCCAGUCUAAACGGAGUCUUAGAUUCAAAAAUUAUCUUUAACAAUUUUUAUAGUCAUACCAGCGCAUAUAAUCUGGCAAUCUUCCUAAUCAUAUAAGAAUUUCCAGCAUUUCAGUCAGUUUAGACCUGUCAUCCUUGGACAAUGAUGAGGAUAAAUAUUCAACACUCUAAGUGUCUUGGCUAUCUUGAUAUGUGUUGAAAUAUGGUUGUAUAUCUAUCUUUUUCUUUAUUUGUUAAUCUAUUUUUUUGUGGGAAUCAUGAGUAUAAAGCACUUGCAUGUUUAUUUAAUACGACUAAAAGAAAUUUAAUAAAUACAAAUAUUAAAGUUAUAUAAAAAAUAAAAAAUGAAUUAAAGGAAAAAAAAAUGUAGAAAAUAGAUUUGAGUAUUGAGCGGGAUCAAUCUAAACCCAUCCCAAAGUGAUCCUGCCCAAAUUAGUCCCAAAAUACACAUGGGUAAGGUUGGAUCCAAAUCCAUAUGACUCGGUUCCAUUUCAAACCCAAGCAAAUGCCACCCAUUUUGCCAUCUCUAUGGAUCUUUUAAGUCCCUCUUGGAAUGCCUCCUUUUUUUUGGGGGUGGGGGUGGGGGAAUCAAAUAUUCUUGCCAACAAGCAUCAAACAUUAGUAUUAGAUGUGUAUUCGAGUCGAGUUAAACUUGAGUAAUAUUCAAGGUAAAAUAAAACUACUGAACUUGAUCUCGUCUACCUUAUUUGAACUCAAGUUUAAUUAAAUCUAAUCAAAUUUAAUCAAGUUUAUUCGAAUCUAAUUAAGCUUCGGGUUCGAGUUUAAUUAAAUCUAACUAAGUCAAAUCAAACUCAAUUAAACCUAUUUGAAUCUAAUUGAGCUUACCUAAUAAAAAUUAACUUUUACAUAUAUUUUUAAAUAAAAACAUACAAUUGACAUCUUACAAUAAUAAAUAGAAAAUAUAUAUUAUAAAAAUCUCAAUUAAAUCUGUUGAGUUUUGAGUACAAAAAUUUGGAACUCGAUCUCGACUAGUGAAUUUGAAUUCGAGCAAAACGAAUUCAAGUCAAGUUGUUGACCGAAUAAUUCGUGAGUUCAAGUCGAAUUAUUUGAUUCACCAUCAUCCCUAGUCAGGAUUUCUUGAUUUUUCAAAUUCAACGAGUACAUUCGUUUGAUUCAGCAGUGGUUCCCCUUUGGGUUUCCGGUGGCUCUAUUGGGUAAUGUGGACAAAAGAAAAAUAACUAGUAUGUUUUGGACAAAAGUUGGGUAAGUUAAUAUUGACCAACGAGAGAUAAAAUUGUCCGUUAAGUCAAAAAAUUUUUUGGCUCUUAAUUGUGUUCUGGCAGUAGCAAUAGCUGGAGUUGGAAGAUAAAGCUAGAAUAGGAGUGUUCAAUUUGAAUUAAAUCCACGUAGUGCACAAUGCACAAUCAUAGUAGUACUAGGUGAAUGCAACGUGCCCGAAAACAGGGAGAAUUGACUUGCUGAAAAAAAAAAAGAAGAAAUCCGUAAUACCUAGGAAAUGUCUACAGCAGGCAUGAUUUUGAUUUGCAGCCCUCUGUGAGUUUUAUAAGAAUUUUCUUUCCUUUGCCACUAAGAAUUACGCAUUAUAUGUUAGUUUUGGACCACUAUUUUUUUUUUUGUGAAGAAUUGGACCACUAAUAGUUGACCUGACCAUUUUCCUUCCAAAAAAGAAUAGUUGGUAUGGCCAUUUGGUGUUCUUUAUUGAUUGGACGUUUGGAUUGCAUUUUUCAUGAUUUUUCAUAGAAAAAUUACUGUAGCGAUUUGAUGUAUGUGAGGAAAAAAGGUAAUGGAGAAAUAUGAUCACGGAAAACGAUGCAAUUUUCUGGUAAAAAAUGACAAUCCAAACAGGGCUGAACUGUUUUUGUUUUCGUGCAAAUUAAUUUUAUAUAAUUAAUCCUUGAAAAUCAGAUUUUUUUUUAAAAAUAAUUCAUAUAUUCUCGUUUGUUGUUACAAAAGCUAUUUAAAUGUAUGCAUGGGUGUUCUCAAAAUAAAAAAAAAAAUAGAACCCACAAUCAGACUCCAAAAGUAGUAUGAUACAGCCUUUAAUUUGCAUUUUUUUUUUUGGUCCCCGACAAAUCUAAAAUCAGAAUACAAAAAGUUGAAAUAACUUUUUAAAAAUGAAAAGGCUGAAAUAAAACCAUAGAAUUUGCUGAGAGCAACGCUUAGCCUAGAUUGAUUGAGAACAAAAACGAGCUGAUCGAGUACGAAUAGGUAUUAACUGAUAUAAACACUUUAAAAUUUUAGAAAAGAUUGUAAAAAAGAGAACAAAAAAUCACUUACUAGCAUAAUGGUUUAGAGUAAGAUAAUUAAUAUAGACACCGACCAAGUAAUUAGAAGACUAGGCCAAAAACAGAAGAGAUCACGGUAAGCUUCUUAUUCCCCCAAACCCAUGCUUUUUUUUUGUCAAAACCCAAACCCAUGCUAUUCAAAGGUGUACGUCAGUACAUUACCACUCAUCAUUAAUGUACUUUUGUAUGGUAAAAUUGCUGGUCAAAGAAGAGGUUUAACUGGCGUAAAUUUAAGGGUUUAAAUGUGAUAAAUACCAUUAUUAUCCUCGUAAUAAAAUAUUCAUUUGGAAUUGCUUUGUUGCUCUUUUUAGGCAAAAUAAGUAAGUAAAUAAAUAAAGCCCUUUAGAGGAGGGUUUGGUUGGAUAAUAAGGUAGCACGGGGGAUUAUAGAUAGAAAAUUCUGGUUCAAAAUUUCUUACUUGAAAAAAGAGAAAAAAGAAAACAUUGACUUUGCAAUAUGGGUGGUCCUCAUUCAACGUCUUUCUUCCUUCCUCUAAGUUCACACAUGUCCAUGUAGUAAUAAAUAACUUUCAACGAUAGCAGGCUAAGUGGCUAACCACUGAAUUUUCAUCCUAUUAAACAAGUCAAUCAGUCAGUUAUACAAAUUUCACUACUGAACUUCUAUUUUUUAAUAAGGUAUUUAUAAUUUCAGAAACCUUCCUUGAAGUUUUUAACAAUUUCAUUCGGCUCUCUCAAGAUUUUAAAAAUUACACAUGCCUCCCUUAUCAUUUGAAAUUACAAUACUACCAUUAAAUAUUUUAAUGAAAUUCAUUUGUUUUGUAUGCUUAUACUUAGAAUGGCUUUUUAAAAUUAUUUUUUCAUUCUUUUUCCCUCUUAUUCUUUUUUUUUUUUUUUUUUUUUUUGCCAAUAGAACUAUAGAACUACUACUAUUAUCUCUAACUUCUAUUAUAAUCAAACGCCGAACUAUUGAUUUUUUUUAUGAGUUAACUUUAUAUGCAAUCCAAUGUUUUUGCUGAUCUUUGUUUUCAAAUUUUUUGGUAUUAAAAUUAACAAUAAAUCAAAAAGAAAUAGCCCAAAAUCACUACUGAAUUAUGAUAAUCCCACUAUUCAAAAAAUUCAUAAACCCUAAAUGAAUUAUUUCAACAUUUUCUUUUGCUAUCUUAUAAAUCUAAAUUCAUAAUAAAAUACCAUUAAAAGUUUCUUAUCACAGUGAUAAAUUAUUAUUAUAGUUAUUUAUCAAAUAGUAGGUAUUGACAUGAAAAUUUUGGCGCCUUUUCCUUAUAACUAUACUACAUAAUCUUAUAAUUAUAUGGAAAAGUAAAUUAAAACUCAUUACACAGGGGCAUUUUUGAAUAUUCAUUUCAAAAUUUGAUCGAUUCAAUAAUAUUAUUUUAAGGUUUUAUUACUAAAACUAUCAAAUCAAAGGAGGUAGGUAUAAUAUUUCAAAUCUCAAGGGAGUUUAGUGAAAUUGUCAGAAACCUCAGAGAUGGUUCCUAAAAUUAUCCCUUUUACUAAAUCAAAUUGUCUAUUGUUAAUUAAUGUUGCUGUAAUUAGCUUCAUUCUUUCUUGGGUUUUCUUUUUGGUAAGAGUAAGACUAUCUUCCUCAUGCUAAUACGAACGUAGAGCAACGUAGGUCAGAAUAGAAGAAGAGUCAUCAGAUAGUUCUCAAGAGAUGUGUGGUCUUAGGAGGAGGACCCUUCUACGAAUGUGCAAGGAUGAUUGUGACACUUGAUUUUGAUAUAUGUGCUUCAUCUCCUUUUGUUUAGAUAGUUAUGGGCAAAUCUGACGAUGGCAUUUAUUUUCCUUGGGUGGAAAUCUGAUAGCCUAUUGAGAGGAUCUUUCUCUGAUUUCUCCUUCUAAGUUCUUCUAUCCACGGCCAGCCUGGCAAUGGAUCAGCUGCCUUCUUAGGUUAAAGCAAACAGCCCACCUUGACUGACCUUAUAACGCAUGCUAGCUGGUCUCAACUAUCACAACGUUAAUUUUGAAUUUAUGUUGCUUGGAUUAAUUGAUUGAGUAAGUACUAAGUAGUAGUACUUAGAAUAGUAUCGUAUGAAUUUUUUGAUUAAAAAAAAAGUUUAGAUAAUUUUAGUCUUGUCAAAAUCAUAAUCAUGAUUCAAAACAUAUAUAUUGUACGAAAACAUACUUUUGUCGUCAUCAUAUGUAUGGUAUGAAAACAUGCACAGUAUUUUAUGUUGAUGUUCACAUUUUAUACGUAAACACUUUAAAUAGAUUUAUUUUCUUUUCUUUUUUCAAAAAAAAAAAAGAAAAAGAAAAAUCAAAGAUAAUGUAGGUUAAAGGAAUGAUCUUCACCCUUCAAAUUUGUGUCAAACUUGAGAUGGAGAUGUUCGUCUCAAGUUGUAUUAGUACGCGAUUCUUCUUGUCUUUUGACUCAAAACUUUUCAUGUUGAACGUUUUGGGGAGUGAAUAGUCCUUUUCAAUAAAUUGUACUACAUGUUUAUGAAAAGAAUAGCCCAAUCAAAUUAAGAAUCUCAAUUUCUCUUGUCAUUUUGGUUGCUUCUACAGCAAAUUAUUAUUAUGUAGAAGAAAUCAAACAAUUGUUGUUGUUAUAUUAGAAUUACAAUACUUUCUAAUAAUUAAGUCAAAUUAUUAGUAGUUUAGAGUUUCACCAAUAAUCAGAAUGCAGAUGAACCUAGUUUAGUAACAAAAAUAAGACUGAUUAUUCAAAUUGGAUAGAUUAUUAUACUAAGAUGGACAAACAAAACCAAAAUUGACCUCUUUUAUCCUUCCUCAUGAAUAAAACCAAGUUAUACUCACAUUAUCAUCCUCAAAAAUUAACCUUCUGAUUCGUGACAUGCAUGAAUUUAUAUUUUGAAGGAAAUAAUAAAAUAUUUAAGAUUAAUCUAUAUAUAUAUAUAUAUAUAUAUUGUCGUUGUCUACAUUGUUACAAUUAGAUAUAUGAUAUAUGUUGAAUUUGAAAUUUGAAAUUUACUUUUGUGUCAUCUAUGCAACCGUAAUAGUAUAUACACUGACUGACCGUGUAUAUAAAAUUUAUUCAAAUAUUUAUAUAAAACAUAAAAGAUAAAAAAAUUUCAUGAAAGCUUGCUAAAAAUCUAAAACUACUGAACAAAAAGUUGAAAUAAGAAACAAGAAUCAAGAAAAAAAAGAAAGAAAGGAAAGAAUAGCAAUCAUUGUUAGUUUUGCUCUGGUCCAGUGUCCAGUGUCCAGAGGCUCCCGAGCCUCACUUCUCUGCGU